rnacentral:rRNA from 1 species
UUGGGAAUCUUAGGCAAUGGGCGAAAGCCUGACCUAGCGACGCCGCGUGAGGGAAGAAGGCCUUCGGGUCGUAAACCUCUGUCAUGGGGGACGAAGAAAGUGACGGUACCCCAGGAGGAAGCCCCUGCUAACUACGUGCCAGCAGCCGCGGUAAUACGUAGGGGGCGAGCGUUGUCCGGAUUUACUGGGCGUAAAGGGCGAGUAGGCGGUUUGUUAAGUCAGGUGUGAAAUUCCAGGGCUCAACUCUGGAACUGCGCUUGAAACUGGCAGGCUAGAGGACAGGAGAGGGAAGCGGAAUUCCCGGUGUAGCGGUGAAAUGCGUAGAUAUCGGGAGGAAUACCAGUGGCGAAGGCGGCUUCCUGGACUGAACCUGACGCUGAGGAGCGAAAGCUGGGGGAGCAAACAGG